rnacentral:misc_RNA from 1 species
AGCAGCCGCGGUAAUUCCAGCUCCAAUAGCGUAUAUUAAAGUUGUUGCAGUUAAAAAGCUCGUAGUUGAACUUCAGGCCUGUCCAGAUGGUCCGCCUUAAUUGGUGUGUACUGUCCUUGGGUGGGUCCUACCUUCUGGCGAAGCGGCAUGGCCUUAGUUGGUUGUGUCGGGGAACCAGGACUUUUACUGUGAAAAAUUAGAGUGUUCAAAGCAGGCAAAUAUGCUCGAAUACAUUAGCAUGGAAUAAUGGAAUAGGACGAUGGUUCUAUUUUGUUGGUUCUAGGACCGUUGUAAUGAUUAAUAGGGAUAGUUGGGGGCAUUAGUAUUCAAUUGUCAGAGGUGAAAUUCUUGGAUUUAUUGAAGACUAACUACUGCGAAAGCAUUUGCCAAGGAUGUUUUCAUUAAUCAAGAACGAAAGUUAGGGGAUCGAAGACGAUCAGAUACCGUCGUAGUCUUAACCAUAAACUAUGCCGACUAGGAAUCGGGCGAUGUUGACAAAAUGACUCGCUCGG